CUAGUCGUAACGAUGAUGCCUCAGCUUGCUGGGCGGAUUAGUGGCGAACGGGUGAGUAAUACGUGAGUAACCUGCCCUUGACUCUGGGAUAAGCCUGGGAAACUGGGUCUAAUACUGGAUACUACCUCUUGCCGCAUGGUGGGUGGUGGAAAGGGUUUUACUGGUUUUGGAUGGGCUCACGGCCUAUCAGCUUGUUGGUGGGGUAAUGGCUCACCAAGGCGACGACGGGUAGCCGGCCUGAGAGGGUGACCGGCCACACUGGGACUGAGACACGGCCCAGACUCCUACGGGAGGCAGCAGUGGGGAAUAUUGCACAAUGGGCGGAAGCCUGAUGCAGCGACGCCGCGUGAGGGAUGACGGCCUUCGGGUUGUAAACCUCUUUCAGUAGGGAAGAAGCGAGAGUGACGGUACCUGCAGAAGAAGCGCCGGCUAACUACGUGCCAGCAGCCGCGGUAAUACGUAGGGCGCAAGCGUUGUCCGGAAUUAUUGGGCGUAAAGAGCUCGUAGGCGGUUUGUCGCGUCUGCUGUGAAAGCCCGGGGCUCAACCCCGGGUCUGCAGUGGGUACGGGCAGACUAGAGUGCAGUAGGGGAGACUGGAAUUCCUGGUGUAGCGGUGAAAUGCGCAGAUAUCAGGAGGAACACCGAUGGCGAAGGCAGGUCUCUGGGCUGUUACUGACGCUGAGGAGCGAAAGCAUGGGGAGCGAACAGGAUUAGAUACCCUGGUAGU
rnacentral:rRNA from 1 species